rnacentral:rRNA from 1 species
GACGAACGCUGGCGGCGUGCCUAAUACAUGCAAGUCGAACGAGAGCGACCGGUGCUCGCACUGGUCAAUCUAGUGGCGAACGGGUGAGUAACACGUGGGUAACCUGCCCAUCAGAGGGGGAUAACAUCCGGAAACGGAUGCUAAAACCGCAUAGGUCUUCGAACCGCAUGGUUUGAAGAGGAAAAGAGGCGCAAGCUUCUGCUGAUGGAUGGACCCGCGGUGCAUUAGCUAGUUGGUGAGGUAACGGCUCACCAAGGCCGUGAUGCAUAGCCGACCUGAGAGGGUGAUCGGCCACAUUGGGACUGAGACACGGCCCAAACUCCUACGGGAGGCAGCAGUAGGGAAUCUUCCGCAAUGGACGCAAGUCUGACGGAGCAACGCCGCGUGAGUGAAGAAGGUUUUCGGAUCGUAAAACUCUGUUGUUAGAGAAGAACAAGUGCUAGAGUAACUGUUAGCGCCUUGACGGUAGCUAACCAGAAAGCCACGGCUAACUACGUG